rnacentral:tRNA from 1 species
GGCUAGAGCAUGCGGUUCAUACCCGCAGUGUCAAGAGUUCGAGUCUCUUCGCCGCCA